rnacentral:rRNA from 1 species
GAUGAACGCUGGCGGCGUGCCUAAUACAUGCAAGUAGAACGCUGAAGGAAGGAGCUUGCUCUUUCCGGAUGAGUUGCGAACGGGUGAGUAACGCGUAGGUAACCUGCCUGGUAGCGGGGGAUAACUAUUGGAAACGAUAGCUAAUACCGCAUAACAGUAGAUGUUGCAUGAUAUCUACUUAAAAGGUGCAAUUGCACCACUACCAGAUGGACCUGCGUUGUAUUAGCUAGUUGGUGAGGUAACGGCUCACCAAGGCGACGAUACAUAGCCGACCUGAGAGGGUGAUCGGCCACACUGGGACUGAGACACGGCCCUGACUCCUACGGGAGGCAGCAGUAGGGAAUCUUCGGCAAUGGACGGAAGUCUGACCGAGCAACGCCGCGUGAGUGAAGAAGGUUUUCGGAUCGUAAAGCUCUGUUGUAAGAGAAGAACGAGUGUGAGAGUGGAAAGUUCACACUGUGACGGUAGCUUACCAGAAAGGGACGGCUAACUACGUG